AAAGAUUAAGCCAUGCAUGUCUAAGUAUAAGCAAUUAUACCGCGAAACUGCGAAUGGCUCAUUAAAUCAGUUAUCGUUUAUUUGAUAGUACCUUACUACAUGGAUAACCGUGGUAAUUCUAGAGCUAAUACAUGCUAAAAAUCCCGACUUCGGAAGGGAUGUAUUUAUUAGAUUAAAAACCAAUGCCCUUCGGGGCUCUCUGGUGAUUCAUAAUAACUUCUCGAAUCGCACGGCCUUGCGCCGGCGAUGGUUCAUUCAAAUUUCUGCCCUAUCAACUUUCGACGGCUGGGUCUUGGCCAGCCGUGGUGA
rnacentral:rRNA from 2 species